rnacentral:rRNA from 1 species
AGCUACCCCUACNGGUGGCCCCAGUCGAGAAAAAUUCACAAGGGGGCAACCCGCAUCNCCUACGAUCCCACACUNNCAGCAUGGGACAGCGUNNCGAUCAGCUAUGGCUUAGCAUCAGGAUAUUUCAUGGUCAGCGACUGACUGAUGGUGNAACGCCGCGUGGAAUGACGGUCUUCGGAUUGUUAAACUCCUGUCAUCUGAGAGUAAGACCUAGACGUUAAUAGCGUANAGGGUUGAUAGUAUCAGAAGAGGAAGGACGGCUAACUUCGUGCCAGCAGCCGCGGUAAUACGAAGGGCCCCAAGCGUUGUUCGGAAUCACUGGGCGAAAGGGAGCGUAGGCUGCGCGGAAGUCAGAUGUGAAAUCCCGGGGGCUCAACCCCGGAACUGCAUCCGAUACUGCCGCGCUAGAGUAAUGGAGGGGUAACUGGAAUUUCGGUGUAGCAGUGAAAUGCGUGGAAUCGUGAGGAACAAUUUGUGGCGAAAGCGAGUUCCUGGACAUUUACUGACGCGAGGCUCGAAGGCUAGGGUAGCGAAAGGAAAUUAGAUACCCUGUAGUCCUAGCAGUAAACGGUGUGCGCUUGGGUGUAGGAGGAUUCGACCCUUCUGUGCCGGAGUUAACGCGUUAACGCACCGCCUGGGAAGUACGGUCGCAAGACUAAAACUCAGGGAAAUUGACGGGGACCCGCACAAGCGGUUUGGAGUAUGUGGCUUAAUUCGAAGCAACGCGAAGAACCUUACCCAAGGCUUGACAUGCAUCUCUAAGCUCGUGAAACGAGUGACCCUUCGGGGAUUUGCACAGGUGCUGCAUGGCCGUCGUAGCUCGUGUCGUGAGAUGGACC